UCCUUACUCUGGUCCCUUUAAUCCUAGCUCCUUACCCUGGUCUCUUUUUAAUCCUAGCUCCUUACCCUGGUCCCUUUAAUCCUAGCUCCUUACCCUGGUCCCUUUAAUCCUAGCUCAUAGCUCCUUACCCUGGUCCCUUUUUAAUCCUAGCUCCUUACUCUGGUCCCUUUUUAAUCCUAGCUCCUUACCCUGGUCUCUUUUUAAUCCUAGCUCCUUACCCUGGUCCCUUUUUAAUCCUAGCUCCUUACCCUGGUCCUUUUUAAUCCUAGCUCCUUCCCUGGUCCCUUUAAUCCUAGCUCAUAGCUCCUUACCCAGGUCCCUUUUAUCCUAGCUCCUUACCCUGUUCCCUUUAAUCCUAGCUCCUUACCCAGGUCCCUUUUAUCCUAGCUCCUUACCCUGUUCCCUUUUAUCCUAGCUCCUUACCCAGGUCCCUUUAAUCCUAGCUCAUAGCUCCUUACCCUGGUCCCUUUAAUUAUGGGCUCCUUACCAUGGUCCCUUGUAUCCUAGCUCCUUACCCAGGUCCCUUUUAUCCUAGCUCCUUACCCUGGUCCCUUUAAUUAUGGGCUCCUUACCCAGGUCCCUUUAAUCCUAGCUCCUUACCCUGGUCCCUUUAAUCCUAGCUCCUUACCCAGGUCCCUUUAAUCCUAGCUCCUUACCCAGGUCCCUUUAAUCCUAGCUCAUAGCUCCUUACCCUGGUCCCUUUUAUCCUAGCUCCUUACCCUGUUCCCUUUUAUCCUAGCUCCUUACCCUGUUCCCUUUUAUCCUAGCUCCUUACCCUGUUCCCUUUAAUCCUAGCUCCUUACCCUGGUCCCUUUUUAAUCCUAGCUCCUUACCCUGGUCCUUUUUAAUCCUAGCUCCUUACCCUGGUCCCUUUAAUCCUAGCUCCUUACCCAGGUCCCUUUUAUCCUAGCUCCUUACCCUGGUCCCUUUUAUCCUAGCUCCUUACCCAGGUCCCUUUAAUCCUAGCUCAUAGCUCCUUACCCAGGUCCCUUUAAUCCUAGCUCAUAGCUCCUUACCCUGGUCCCUUUAAUUAUGGGCUCCUUACCCAGGUCCCUUUUUAUCCUAGCUCCUUACCCUGUUCCCUUUUAUCCUAGCUCCUUACCCUGUUCCCUUUAAUCCUAGCUCCUUACCCUGGUCCCUUUAAUUAUGGGCUCCUUACCAUGGUCCCUUGUAUCCUAGCUCCUUACCCAGGUCCCUUUUAUCCUAGCUCCUUACCCUGGUCCCUUUAAUUAUGGGCUCCUUACCCUGGUCCCUUUAAUCCUAGCUCCUUACCCAGGUCCCUUUAAUCCUAGCUCCUACCCAGGUCCCUUUUAUCCUAGCUCCUUACCCAGGUCCCUUUUAUCCUAGCUCCUUACCCUGGUCCCUUUUAUCCUAGCUCCUUACCCUGGUCCCUUUUAUCCUAGCUCCUUACCCUGGUCCCUUUUAUCCUAGCUCCUUACCCAGGUCCCUUUAAUCCUAGCUCAUAGCUCCUUACCCAGGUCCCUUUAAUCCUAGCUCAUAGCUCCUUACCCUGGACCCUUUUAUCCUAGCUCCUUACCCUGGUCCCUUUUUAUCCUAGCUCCUUACCCUGGUCCCUUUUAUCCUAGCUCCUUACCCAGGUCCCUUUAAUCCUAGCUCAUAGCUCCUUACCCAGGUCCCUUUAAUCCUAGCUCAUAGCUCCUUACCCUGGUCCCUUUAAUUAUGGGCUCCUUACCCAGGUCCCUUUUUAUCCUAGCUCCUUACCCUGUUCCCUUUUAUCCUAGCUCCUUACCCUGUUCCCUUUAAUCCUAGCUCCUUACCCUGGUCCCUUUAAUUAUGGGCUCCUUACCAUGGUCCCUUGUAUCCUAGCUCCUUACCCAGGUCCCUUUUAUCCUAGCUCCUUACCCUGGUCCCUUUUAUCCUAGCUCCUUACCCUGGUCCCUUUAAUCCUAGCUCCUUACCCAGGUCCCUUUAAUCCUAGCUCAUAGCUCCUUACCCAGGUCCCUUUUAAUCCUAGCUCAUAGCUCCUUACCCUGGUCCCUUUUAAUUAUGGGCUCCUUACCCUGGUCCCUUUAAUCCUAGCUCCUUACCCAGGUCCCUUUUAUCCUAGCUCCUUACCCUGUUCCCUUUAAUCCUAGCUCCUUACCCUGGUCCCUUUAAUUAUGGGCUCCUUACCAUGGUCCCUUUUAUCCUAGCGCCAUACCCUGGUCCCUUGUAUCCUAGCUCCUUACCCAGGUCCCUUUUAUCCUAGCUCCUUACCCUGGUCCCUUUUAAUUAUGGGCUCCUUACCCUGGUCCCUUUAAUCCUAGCUCCUUACCCAGGUCCCUUUAAUCCUAGCUCCUUACCCAGGUCCCUUUAAUCCUAGCUCCUUACCCUGGUCCCUUUUAAUCCUAGCUCCUUACCCUGGUCCCUUUAAUCCUAGCUCC